UCUAACAGCUAAAGGUAUACUUUGUGGCAGAACUGCAACUGCCUAAGUGUUAGAAGUCUCACAGAAAAGAAUGGUACACAACAUUCUUAGGUGUGAACCUUGCAAGAUAAUUAAGUAAACAAAUGUAGCAAGUAAGUGUUGUAGUGUGUAAUACAACAUUUUUUG
rnacentral:ncRNA from 1 species